rnacentral:lncRNA from 1 species
AGAAAUUGCUGCUGAAGUUUCUAAACAGGACAAUAAUGAUUUCCUGACCAAUCAGCCAUAUGAAGUUGCCACAACAAUAGAACCAAUACAAGCUCAUGACCUACCUACCCUUGUAAAUCCUACAGAUACAGAUAUGGAUGAGGAAUCCACUGCACAAAAUUUCCUUUAUGUUGCCAAGCAUGGGGAUCUGUCACCAAGGCUUAUUGAACCUGUCAAAUCUCCAUCAAAAGGAAAAAAGAAACAGUCAAAAGAGAUUUCAACAGCACAUGUCAGUGGAGUACAAACAAGGAGUACACUAUCCAAACCCAAAAUCAUUUAAUGAAUGCCAUUAUAUGGAAUGUGCGGUAAGUAAACACAAUGCAAGAAUUUGAAAGGCUGAUUACAUUGCAUAAAAAACAUCGCUUUCAGUUCAUAGGAAUAAUGGAGCCUAUGCAACAGUCUCACAAAAUGGAGAGGUAUAGAGCAAGAAUUGGAUUGGAACAGGCUGUGGGGAAUGUGUCUAACAAGAUUUGGGUUUUUAUUGAUGAAAUUUAUACAGUUUCUAUUCUACAUAACAUGACUCAAAAUCUGACUUUAAGAUUGAUUCACUCUGAAUCUCAUGAUGAACUCAUCCUCACGCUAGUCUAUGCCAUUCAUAACAUGAAUCAACAGCUGACUUUAAGAUUGAUUCACUCUGAAUCUCAAGAUGAACUCAUCCUUACGCUAGUCAAUGCCAGAUGCGAUCGUAUAGAAAGAAUUGACCUAUGGGAUUCUUUGUAUGCAAUGGCAUCAGAUAUAUCAGUUCCAUGGCCAGUGGGAGGUGUCUUUAAUGUGAUGUGGGAUGAGGAAGAGAAGUAUGGAGGCUUACUAGUUCUAUCCUUGAAGUAGAUGACCUUAGACACUGCAUAAACACCUGCAAUUUGUUAGAUUUUGGAUUUAAAGGAAGCAUCUUUACAUGGUGGAAUGGAAGAUCAGAAGAGGACUGUAUAUUCAAAAGACUGGACAGAUGUUUAGGUAAUGAAGAAUUGCAACAGAAAUUUCUUGGAUUGGAGGUAACUCGCCUGUCCAAAAUCGGCUCAUAUCAUUGCCCGAUGCUGCUUAAAUCUGAUUUAAAAACUGCCCCAAUUAAGAAGUCAUUCAGAUUUCUUAAUUUCUGGACGAAGCAUGAAUCUUUCAAAGAUGUAGUGAAGGAGAAUUGGAAUGCUGAUUUUAGUGCUAACCCUUUAUGUAUUUUUAACUAUAAGUUAAAGAAGCUUAAACAUGCACUAUCUACCUGGAGCAGAGAUACAUAUGGGGUCAUUUUCCAGAAGAUUGAAAGUCUUGAGGAGGUGGUAAUGGUUCAUGAAAGACAAUUUCAAGUUAAUCCGACUCAGAUAAACAGACAGAGAUUACGAAUGGUCCAAUCUGAAAUGCUUAAUAAUCUUCCAUUAGAAGAACAAUUUUGGAGACAAAAAGCAGGCAUGUUAUGGUUCAAAGAUGGCGAUAGAAACACUAAAAUUUUCCAUGCUCAAGUUAAUGGGAGAAGGAAGAUAAUGAAAUUAUCAAGGAUCCAGGAUAGCUUAGGUAACUGAAUCGAAGAAGACCACUUAAUAUCAGAAGAAGCAAUAUAAUUUUACAAGGAUCUAUUCACUGAGACUUCAUCCCCUACUUCUUUUCAUAUUCUAAAUCAUGUACUUCAAUGGUAGAUAAUGAUCACCACGAGAGAUUGAUGGCUUUACCUACUAAAGAGGAAGUAAAGAAAGCAGUCAUGGGCUAAAUGGGGAUUCAACAGGCGGACCAGAUGGAUUCAAUGGAGCCUUUUACCAAUCAUGCUGGGAAAUCAUUGAAGAAGAUGUAGUCGGCAUGGUUAAGUCUUUCUUCUGCGGUCGU